UGAGAUUGUAAGAGCCUUAAGGAAGGGUA
rnacentral:piRNA from 1 species